rnacentral:tRNA from 1 species
GCCUCAAUGGGGGAAUAGGUAGACCUGUGUGCCUUAGGAGCACAUGAGCUUAGCUCGUGUCGGUUCGAGUCCGACUUGAGGUA